rnacentral:rRNA from 1 species
AUUCCUUGUCGGGUAAGUUCCGACCCGCACGAAAGGCGUAACGAUCUGGGCACUGUCUCAACGAGAGACUCGGUGAAAUUAUAAUACCCGUGAAGAUGCGGGUUACCCGCGACAGGACGGAAAGACCCCAUGGAGCUUUACUGCAGUUUGAUAUUGAGUGUCUGUACCACAUGUACAGGAUAGGUAGGAGUCUAUGAGAUCGGGACGCCAGUUUCGAAGGAGACGUUGUUGGGAUACUACCCUUGUGUUAUGGCCACUCUAACCC